CUUGCUCCAGAACCUUCAGUGGCCACCUACUGCCCAGGGGUGAUGGGCAAACACCCCCACAGUCUGGAGUCUACCCCCCUUUCCCAGCACAGCACAAUGACAGAGGCUGGGCAUUUUAAAAACAUGUUAGAAUACAGAACAGUGGGAUAAUUGGCCAAAAGGAGGUCCCAUCCCAUACCGCCCCAGCCUCAACCUUGGCCUUGGCCCGGAAGAAGGGGUAGCUGACGUUGCAGACUUUCUUGUGGAGCCUCCUCUGCUCGUUCACACACUCGAUGCUGCCGUCGGCGUCAUCCUGGGGGCAGAUGGGGGCAUCGCGGGCAGCAGUGAGGUGGGGCCUGAGACCCAAGGCUGGGGGCCACCCCUGCCCCCUGCCCCGCAACUGCUCAGGCUGAAGCUGCAGCACAGGCUGCAGAUGCUGGGACCACAGGGGCCCUGGAGGCUCCGGUGCGGCUUGGUCCUGGAUGCGGAAAGCAUGGUGGGGCCCAGAGCAGGGGUGGGGGACUGGCUCAGCAGUGCUGGGAGUGGGCAGGCGCUCAUGUACAUGCUUUGUCAUUCCCUCUGGAUCAACCCCAGAGGCAGGACGUAUCAUCCAGCUUACGGGUGGGGUCACUGAGCCCCAGAGAUGGGAGGUAACUAGCUCAGACCACCAGAAAGUGGCCUCCUCCACUCGAGGUUGGAUGGUAGGGGUCGGGGAGAGGAAGGAGGGGUGCUGACCUUCCGCCGUGAGCAUCUCCUGGGCUGGGGAUGGAUGGUGGCCACGGUGAAGGAGCCAGGCUGCAGGCUGGCCCUUUACACACACCACCUGCUGCUGCUGCUGGUGUGUGUGUGUGUGUGUGUUUGUGUGCACACACACCCCUAACAAGGGCCAAGGGCACAGGCUGAAGGAUAUUCCUCUCCAUGGUUCUGAAAGGUUCAGACUGCCCUCUCCCUGUGGUUCUCAUCCCUGACUGCACACUGACAUCACCUGGGCAGCUUUAAAAGCAGACUGACCCAGGCCCCACCCAGAAUAUAUCAAGUAGAACGUCCUGGAGAAGUCUGGACACAGGCAUCUUUCAGCUCCCAGGUGAUUCUAAUGCCUGUGUCAGCCAGGCCCCCUACCUGGACCCCUCCUUCCCUGCCUCAGCCCUUCCUCUCAGGCAGGUAGCCAAGCUCUUACCUUCUG